AGAGUUUGAUCCUGGCUCAGAUUGAACGCUGGCGGCAGGCCUAACACAUGCAAGUCGAGCGGAUGAAGGGAGCUUGCUCCCUGAUUUAGCGGCGGACGGGUGAGUAAUGCCUAGGAAUCUGCCUGGUAGUGGGGGAUAACGUUCCGAAAGGAACGCUAAUACCGCAUACGUCCUACGGGAGAAAGCAGGGGACCUUCGGGCCUUGCGCUAUCAGAUGAGCCUAGGUCGGAUUAGCUAGUUGGUGAGGUAAUGGCUCACCAAGGCGACGAUCCGUAACUGGUCUGAGAGGAUGAUCAGUCACACUGGAACUGAGACACGGUCCAGACUCCUACGGGAGGCAGCAGUGGGGAAUAUUGGACAAUGGGCGAAAGCCUGAUCCAGCCAUGCCGCGUGUGUGAAGAAGGUCUUCGGAUUGUAAAGCACUUUAAGUUGGGAGGAAGGGCAUUAACCUAAUACGUUAGUGUUUUGACGUUACCGACAGAAUAAGCACCGGCUAACUUCGUGCCAGCAGCCGCGGUAAUACGAAGGGUGCAAGCGUUAAUCGGAAUUACUGGGCGUAAAGCGCGCGUAGGUGGUUCGUUAAGUUGGAUGUGAAAGCCCCGGGCUCAACCUAGGAACUGCAUCCAAAACUGGCGAGCUAGAGUACGGUAGAGGGUGGUGGAAUUUCCUGUGUAGCGGUGAAAUGCGUAG
rnacentral:rRNA from 1 species